rnacentral:rRNA from 1 species
GACGAACGCUGGCGGCGUGCUUAACACAUGCAAGUCGAACGGAAAGGCCCUGCUUGCAGGGUACUCGAGUGGCGAACGGGUGAGUAACACGUGGGUGAUCUGCCCUGUACUUCGGGAUAAGCUUGGGAAACUGGGUCUAAUACCGGAUAGGAGCCAUCUUUAGUGUGGUGGUUGGAAAGUUUUUUCGGUGUAGGAUGAGCUCGCGGCCUAUCAGCUUGUUGGUGGGGUAAUGGCCUACCAAGGCGGCGACGGGUAGCCGGCCUGAGAGGGUGUACGGCCACAUUGGGACUGAGAUACGGCCCAGACUCCUACGGGAGGCAGCAGUGGGGAAUAUUGCACAAUGGGCGCAAGCCUGAUGCAGCGACGCCGCGUGGGGGAUGAAGGCCUUCGGGUUGUAAACUCCUUUCGCUAGGGACGAAGCUUUUUUGUGACGGUACCUAGAUAAGAAGCACCGGCUAACUACGUG